rnacentral:rRNA from 1 species
UACAGAGGUCCCAAGCGUUGUUCGGAUUUACUGGGCGUAAAGGGUGCGUAGGUGGCGAGGUAAGUUUGAUGUGAAAUCUCCGAGCUCAACUCGGAAAUGGCAUUGAAUACUAUCCCGCUUGAGGGUCGGAGGGGAGACUGGAAUUCUCGGUGUAGCAGUGAAAUGCGUAGAUAUCGAGAGGAACACCAGUGGCGAAGGCGGCUACCUGGACCGGUUCUGACGCUGAUGGCGCGAAAGCGUGGGUACGCAAACAGG